GACGAACGCUGGCGGCGUGCCUAAUACAUGCAAGUAGAACGCUGAAGGAGGAGCUUGCUUCUCUGGAUGAGUUGCGAACGGGUGAGUAACGCGUAGGUAACCUGCCUGGUAGCGGGGGAUAACUAUUGGAAACGAUAGCUAAUACCGCAUAAUAGUAGAUGUUGCAUGACAUUUGCUUAAAAGGUGCAAUUGUAUCACUACCAGAUGGACCUGCGUUGUAUUAGCUAGUUGGUGGGGUAACGGCUCACCAAAGCGACGAUACAUAGCCGACCUGGGAGGGUGAUCGGCCCAACUGGGACUGGGAAACGGCCCAAGCUCCUACGGGAGGCAACAGUAGGGAAUCUUCGGCAAUGGACGGAAGUCUGACCGAACAACGCCGCGUGAGUGAAGAAGGUUUUCGGAUCGUAAAGCUCUGUUGUAAGGGAAGAACGAGUGUGAGAGUGGAAAGUUCACACUGUGACGGUAUCUUACCAGAAAGAGACGGCUAACUACGUG
rnacentral:rRNA from 1 species